CGACUGCUAUCAGAGUGGGACUAAGCCAUGCGAGUCGACAUAGCAAUAUGUGGCAUACGGCUCAGUAACGCGUAGUCAAUCUACCCUAUGGACGGGAAUAACCACGGGAAACUGAGAAUAAUGCCCGACAGAACAUUAUACCUGGAACGGUUUAUGUUUCAAAUGAUUUAUCGCUGUAGGAUGGGACUGCGGCCAAUCAGUUUGUUGGUGAGGUAAUGGCCCACCAAGACUAUUACAGGUACGGGCUCUGAGAGGAGUAGCCCGGAGAUGGGUACUGAGACACGGACCCAGGCCCUAUGGGGCGCAGCAGGCGAGAAAACUUUGCAAUGUGCGAAAGCACGACAAGGUUAAUCCGAGUGGUUUCUGCUAAAGAAACCUUUUGCUAGUCCUAGAAACACUAGUGAAUAAGGGGUGGGCAAGCCUGGUGUCAGCCGCCGCGGUAAUACCAGCACCCCGAGUGGUCGGGACGAUUAUUGGGCCUAAAGCAUCCGUAGCCGGUUCUACAAGUCUUCCGUUAAAUCCAUCUGCUUAACAGAUGGGCUGCGGAGGAUACUAUGGAGCUAGGAGGCGGGAGAGGCAAGCGGUACUUAGUGGGUAGGGGUAAAAUCCGUUGAUCCACUGAAGACCACCAGUGGCGAAGGCGGCUUGCCAGAACGCGCUCGACGGUGAGGGAUGAAAGCUGGGGGAGCAAACCGGAUUAGAUACCCGGGUAGUCCCAGCUGUAAACGAUGCAGACUCGGUGAUGAAUAGGCUUAUUGCUAACUCAGUGCCGCAGGGAAGCCGUUAAGUUUGCCGCCUGGGGAGUACGGUCGCAAGACUGAAACUUAAAGGAAUUGGCGGGGGAGCACCACAAGGGGUGAAGCCUGCGGUUCAAUUGGAGUCAACGCCGGAAAUCUUACCGGGGGCGACAGCAGAGUGAAGGUCAAGCUGAAGACUUUACCAGACAAGCUGAGAGGAGGUGCAUGGCCGUCGCCAGCUCGUGCCGUGAGGUGUCCUGUUAAGUCAGGUAACGAGCGAGAUCCCUGCCUCUAGUUGCUACCAUUAUUCUCAGGAGUAGUGGAGCUAAUUAGAGGGACCGCCGUCGCUGAGACGGAGGAAGGUGGGGGCUACGGCAGGUCAGUAUGCCCCGAAACCCUCGGGCCACACGCGGGCUGCAAUGGUAAGGACAAUGAGUUUCGAUUCCGAAAGGAGGAGGCAAUCUCUAAACCUUACCACAGUUAUGAUUGAGGGCUGAAACUCGCCCUCAUGAAUAUGGAAUCCCUAGUAACCGCGUGUCACUAUCGCGCGGUGAAUACGUCCCUGCUCCU
rnacentral:rRNA from 1 species